UGGGGGAUAUUGCACAAUGGAGGAAACUCUGAUGCAGCGACGCCGCGUGAGGGAAGAAGGUCUUCGGAUUGUAAACCUCUGUCUUUGGGGACGAAGAAAGUGACGGUACCCAAAGAGGAAGCCACGGCUAACUACGUGCCAGCAGCCGCGGUAAUACGUAGGUGGCGAGCGUUGUCCGGAAUUACUGGGUGUAAAGGGUGCGUAGGCGGACUGGCAAGUUGGAUGUGAAAUCUCCGCGCUUAACGUGGAGGUUGCAUUCAAAACUGUUGGUCUUGAGUGAGGCAGAGGCAGGCGGAAUUCCCGGUGUAGCGGUGAAAUGCGUAGAGAUCGGGAGGAACACCAGUGGCGAAGGCGGCCUGCUGGGCCUUAACUGACGCUGAGGCACGAAAGCAUGGGUAGCAAAC
rnacentral:rRNA from 1 species